rnacentral:rRNA from 1 species
CUCCUGGAAACGGGUGGUAAUGCCGGAUGUUCCAGUUGAUCGCAUGGUCUUCUGGGAAAGCUUUCGCGGUAUGGGAUGGGGUCGCGUCCUAUCAGCUUGACGGCGGGGUAACAGCCCACCGUGGCUUCGACGGGUAGCCGGCCUGAGAGGGUGACCGGCCACAUUGGGACUGAGAUACGGCCCAGACUCCUACGGGAGGCAGCAGUGGGGAAUAUUGCACAAUGGGCGCAAGCCUGAUGCAGCGACGCCGCGUGAGGGAUGGAGGCCUUCGGGUUGUAAACCUCUUUUAUCGGGGAGCAAGCGUGAGUGAGUUUACCCGUUGAAUAAGCACCGGCUAACUACGUGCCAGCAGCCGCGGUAAUACGUAGGGUGCAAGCGUUAUCCGGAAUUAUUGGGCGUAAAGGGCUCGUAGGCGGUUCGUCGCGUCCGGUGUGAAAGUCCAUCGCUUAACGGUGGAUCCGCGCCGGGUACGGGCGGGCUUGAGUGCGGUAGGGGAGACUGGAAUUCCCGGUGUAACGGUGGAAUGUGUAGAUAUCGGGAAGAACACC